rnacentral:rRNA from 1 species
UUGAAAGGGAAACGAUUGAAGUCAGUCGUACCAGCGGGAANNUCAACCUUUCGAGUGGGGGUUUUGAGUUUUGAAGAAUGUCAAAACCUUNNAGAUNNCAANNNUNNCGCUNUNNUGGUGUACUUUCUCGUGGGUAGGUUAACAUCGAUUUUNAUCAUCAAUAAAAAGAUUGGAGGAAUGUAGCUUCGAUCUUGUAUUGAAGUGUUAUAGCCUUUGGUAAAUGUGAUGAUUAGGAUCGAGGAUUGCAACGAAUACCCUUUUGGGCUAUCCGCCUGAUCUCUGAUACGUGGCCUUUGGUAUCGAAAGCUNGCUUAUGGUAUCAAGNUAUUACGGUCAAAAGGGUUAGAANGGUUUCAUUUCGUUAAGGAUGUUGACGUA